GACGAACGCUGGCGGCGUGCUUAACACAUGCCAGUCGAACGGAAAGGCCCUGCUUUUGUGGGGUGCUCGAGUGGCGAACGGGUGAGUAACACGUGAGUAACCUGCCCUUGACUUUGGGAUAACUUCAGGAAACUGGGGCUAAUACCGGAUAGGAGCUCCUGCUGCAUGGUGGGGGUUGGAAAGUUUCGGCGGUUGGGGAUGGACUCGCGGCUUAUCAGCUUGUUGGUGGGGUAGUGGCUUACCAAGGCUUGGACGGGUAGCCGGCCUGAGAGGGUGACCGGCCACAUUGGGACGGGGAUACGGCCAGGACUCCUACGGGAGGAAGCAGUGGGGAAUAUUGCACAAUGGGCGGAGGCCUGAUGCAGCACCGCCGCGUGCGGGAUGACGGCCUUCGGGUGGUAAACCGCUUUCGCCUGUGACGAAGCGUGAGUGACGGUAAUGGGUAAAGAAGCACCGGCAAAUUACGU
rnacentral:rRNA from 1 species